rnacentral:rRNA from 1 species
AGCGUCGAAUACGGGGCGAAGUCAUACCGAAAGGAAUGGUGGACUGUAUUCGAGUGAGAAUGCCGGAAUGAGUAGCGAGAAUUAUGUGGGAAUCAUAAUGGCCGAAAGUCUAAGGUUUCCUGGGGAAGGUUCGUCCGCCCAGGGUAAGCCGGGAGCUAAGGCGAGGCCGCAAGGCGUAGUCGAUGCACAUACGGUAGAAAUUCCGUAGCCGGCACAAUCGUUAAGCAUACUGACACAUGAGAGUAGCUCUACCGGGCGUUGGUUGCCCCGGGCGUAAGCGAGCCGAAUGAGGCGAAGUGAGUAAAUCUUGUGGCGAGAAAAGGUGUGUGUAUUGGUUGGGCUGCCCGUACCGCAAACCGACACAGGUAGAUGAGGAGAAGAUCCUAAGGCCAUCGGGAGAAGGGUUGUUAAGGAACUAGGCAAAUUGACCCCGUAACUUCGGGAGAAGGGGUGCCUACGAGAGUAGGCCGCAGAGAAUCGGCCCAAGCAACUGUUUACCAAAAACACAGGUCUCUGCUAAAUCGAAAGAUGACGUAUAGGGGCUGACGCCUGCCCGGUGCUGGAAGGUUAAGAGGAGGACUUAGUGGCAACACGAAGGCCCGAAUUGAAGCCCCAGUAAACGGCGGCCGUAACAAUAACGGUCCUAAGGUAGCGAAAUUCCUUGUCAGGUAAGUUCUGACCCGCACGAAAGGCGUAAUGAUUUGGGCACUGUCUCAACAGCCCGCCCGGCGAAAUUGUAGUACCGGUGAAGAUGCCGGUUACCCGCAACUAGACGGAAAGACCCCAUGGAGCUUUACUGCAGCUUAAUACUGAGAUUCGGUAAAUCAUGUACAGGAUAGGUGGGAGACUAAGAAGCCAGGCCGUCAGGUUUGGUGGAGUCGCCCUUGGGAUACCACCCUUGGUUUGCUGGGUUUCUAACCUGCGGCCCUGAAUCGGGUCGGGGGACACUGUUAGGCGGGCAGUUUGACUGGGGCGGUCGCCUCCUAAAAUGUAACGGAGGCGCUCAAAGGUUGGCUCAGCAUGGAUGGAAACCAUGCAAUGAGUGUAAACGUAUAAGCCAGCCUGACUGCGAGACCGACGGGUCGAGCAGAGACGAAAGUCGGAGUUAGUGAUCCGGUGGUACGUGAGUGGAAAUGCCAUCGCUCAACGGAUAAAAGCUACCCUGGGGAUAACAGGCUGAUCUCCCCCAAGCGUCCACAGCGACGGGGAGGUUUGGCACCUCGAUGUCGGCUCGUCGCAUCCUGGGGCUGAAUUAGGUCCCAAGGGUUUGGCUGUUCGCCAAUUAAAGCGGCACGCGAGCUGGGUUCAGAACGUCGUGAGACAGUUCGGUCCCUAUCUGUUGCGGGCGUAGGAGAUUUGAAGGGAGCUGACCUUAGUACGAGAGGACCGGGUUGGACGUACCUCUGGUGUACCAGUUGUUCUGCCAAGGGCAUGGCUGGGUAGCUACGUACGGACGAGAUAAACGCUGAAGGCAUCUAAGCGUGAAACUCUCCCUGAGAUAAGAUCUCCACUGAGGCUCGACGUAGACUAUGUCGUUGAUAGGUCAGAGGUGGAAGCACAGCAAUGUGUGCAGCUGACUGAUACUAAUAAGCCGAAAGCUUGACUG